rnacentral:rRNA from 1 species
AUACGUAGGGUGCAAGCGUUAAUCGGAAUUACUGGGCGUAAAGCGUGCGCAGGCGGUUUUGUAAGACAGUGGUGAAAUCCCCGGGCUCCACCUGGGAACUGCCAUUGUGACUGCAAGGCUGGAGUGCGGCAGAGGGGGAUGGAAUUCCGCGUGUAGCAGUGAAAUGCGUAGAUAUGCGGAGGAACACCGAUGGCGAAGGCAAUCCCCUGGGCCUGCACUGACGCUCAUGCACGAAAGCGUGGGGAGCAAAUAGGAUUAGAUACCCUGGUAGUCCACGCCCUAAACGAUGUCAACUGGUUGUUGGGGAUUUAUUUUCUCAGUAACGAAGCUAACGCGUGAAGUUGACCGCCUGGGGAGUACGGCCGCAAGGUUAAAACUCAAAGGAAUUGACGGGG